GCAAAAAUUGAAAGAGUGGUUGUGCAUAGUACUUGCUCGAUCUGUCACAAUGAAGAAGGCUAUUAUAAUUGCUUUUCUAAUUUUGGCUUCAACAUUUCUCUUCCUUCCCUCAUCCACUCAUGCUCGAGGAGUCCAAUUCCCAGGGAAGAAGUUGCCGCCGGUAACUGGGGGAACGCCAAUAAGGAAUAGGCCUCAUCACAGGCCUCCGUUUCGAAAGCUGCCACCAACUUUUUCAUCACCUCCACCAGCAAGGCGGAAGUAGCACUACUCAGUUAGUUUAUUUAGGGAAUAAUAUAACUUUUAGUCUCAAUUUUUUUAAUUAUUAAUUUAAUUCUUAAACUUUGAUCCUUAUGGUUUACUGAGUUAACCAAGUAUAUGGAUUGAGUUGUUACGAAUUAAUAAGAAACUGUAAGGAUUCAAUUAUUUCAAAUCAAAGUUAAAGGAUUGAAUUGAUAAUCUGAAAAAGAAAAAUUCUGAAACAAAAAAGUUAUAUUUUUCCUUAGUUUGAAUUAAUUUAAUCACACUAAUAGGUUGGAAGAGGCUCAUAUAUAUGUUGAAAUUUCUAUUUUUAAUAGCUUGCCUUGUUAAGUGCAUUUAUGUUGUAACUUUUAUUUCGCUUUCUGUUAAUUUCCAAGAAUAAUGUCUUCCAACCAACUUGUAGCCGUUGAUCAUGAAUUGUCCUUGAAAAGAACAAGCUCCCUUCUGUGUUA